CGUGCUGGGCCCAUAACCCAGAGGUCGAUGGA
rnacentral:piRNA from 4 species